rnacentral:tRNA from 1 species
GGCUGUGUAGCUCAGUGGUAGAGCACUUACCUCAAGUGUAUGAAGCACUGGGUUCAAUUCCAGCACCA